UAACUGAAGAGUUUGAUCAUGGCUCAGAUUGAACGCUGGCGGCAGGCUUAACACAUGCAAGUCGAGCGGGGGAAGGUAGCUUGCUACCGGACCUA
rnacentral:rRNA from 1 species